UGCGUGCUGCUUUGGCGGCUGGCGUCCCCUGGGCCACUCUGUUUGGCUCUUCCUGACGCGGUGCUAAAAUCUUUCCUGUAAUAGUACCGCUGCAGCAGGAGAUCGAGUGACUGACAAAAAAGUGAACUAAGGAAAACGUUCUGGGGUUCUUAAAGCUGUCGUCCUGAGGUUAUGAGCAAUGUUGCCAGAAGAUACGGUGCUUUCGAUCAGCUACCUUUAUUAUCGUUUCAAGCAGGAUUCACGAGCGGAUUGCAUGACUGCUAAGAAAGGGGCUUCACAAAGAUGGAUCCUGCCAGUUUGGUAGCAAUAGAGAACUUCGGUUUUGCAGCUGGAGUGUACUUGCCCACUUUUGAGCCUUUGAGCAAAUCCUUCUACAGAUUUACACGUUCCAGUUAUGUAGGUACAACACUUCCCCUGGAUGUGUGGGAUGGCUGGAAAGACUGCUUGACUGCAUGUCUCUUAGGAAACAAAGUACAGCAUUAUCUGCCUGAGGAAAAGCCAGUACUUAAGUAUGCUAAUGGAACUGAUGGAAACAAACGAUGUGGAGAUCCUAACCCAGUAGUGGUUUCGCACAUUAAAAUCUGUGCUGAGUUCAGACUACUUCUGUCAAAAACGCUGUCUCUCCAGCAGUUGUGUAUGACUGAUAGCUCAUGGCAGUAUCACACGAUCCUUUGCAUAACAUUUCGAAACUCAAGCAUAAAGCGUGAGCAGCUAUGGAAUUCCUCAAGCUACGUGAACAGGUGCAUCUUCCGGCGAUCCGUUAAAGGCUUUUACUAG
rnacentral:lncRNA from 1 species